rnacentral:ribozyme from 1 species
CACUUCUCAGCAUGUUGCUGGUUGCCAUAUUAUUGCUUGAUGGCACGCAAGCCUUUGUCAGUCAUAAAGCUUUUCAAUCCAAAGUCCCUUUUGGGGGCCAAAAUACCCUCUCUGCG